CCUACGGGUGGCAGCAGUGGGGAAUAUUGCGCAAUGGGCGAAAGCCUGACGCAGCGACGCCGCGUGAGGGAUGAAGGUCUUCGGAUCGUAAACCUCUGUCCUCUGUGAAGAUAAUGACGGUAGCAGAGGAGGAAGCUCCGGCUAACUACGUGCCAGCAGCCGCGGUAAUACGUAGGGAGCAAGCGUUGUCCGGAUUUACUGGGUGUAAAGGGUGCGUAGGCGGCCCUGCAAGUCAGAAGUGAAAUCCAUGGGCUUAACCCGUGAACUGCUUUUGAAACUGUAGGGCUUGAGUGAAGUAGAGGCAGGCGGAAUUCCCGGUGUAGCGGUGAAAUGCGUAGAGAUCGGGAGGAACACCAGUGGCGAAGGCGGCCUGCUGGGCUUUAACUGACGCUGAAGCACGAAAGCGUGGGUAGCAAACAGGAUUAGAUACCCGGGUAGUC
rnacentral:rRNA from 1 species